UCAGAAAUUUAAUUUCAACACCUGGAAUAAGAAAGCCUUGAUUAAUAGCUUAAAGUUGGUGGAGUUGAGUGACCAAUAUAAUUUCUACCAAGGAUGAAGCUUUAGGACCUUCUUCUCUUCCUUUGGUCAAGAUUCACUUAAUCAUCCUUUUUUUGUUGUUGUUUCAACAAUUACUUUUUCAUUUGUUACUGAGAACCGGUCCUGGAUUUUGUGAUCACGAAAGAUUUGCUUUUCUGUACCAUCAAUGUUAAUGCUCUUAAGUAAUAUUUUUUGGAGACGUUAAUUCAUUUCAGUGAUUUUUUAAAACUAUUCCCAGUCACAGAGCACCAAAUACAUUUUAUAUGAGGGAUGGGAAUCCACUUCCAAAAAAUAGUAAUGUAAAAGCUAAUAAGAUAAAAGCAUAACAAAGUCAACAUAGUCACACAGAAGCAAGUCAUAGGGUGUCCAUGGACCUACAGAGGGGCCCUAGUGUUAAUACCAUACCAUGUGCUUGAUCAGUGGUCACUUGUUUCCUGAGCAUCAGCAUGUCUCUAAGAUUUGCUCCAGUCAAUCAGGCAAAUGCAGAAUGCCAUUAAAGUGAUAAAUUGGAACAGCCCACACAGAGUUGUUGCAGUCUGUCAUGUCAGGUCCCACUUUAGAGAGAUUUUUAACUUUAUGGAUCACUGAUUUGAUAAACCAAAAUGAGUCCUUUAAAGCUCUCCUUUUUUAUCAGGUUGCUGAACUUAUCAGCAUUGCAUGCUCAAUGAAACUCUCUUUCCUGGAGUCUGAACACCUCAGAGGUGACCGGUGUGUCUUCUUGAUGGAGUGAUGUAUUUACUUGUUUCUGCUGUUCAUUCCAUGAAGAGCCUGAGAGAGAUGGAUUAUCACCGUAUCCGUUGUACAGAUGCAGAAGCAAAAGCUGAGACAGAUGCGGAACCCCACUGUGGUCACAGUGAAAAACGGUGCAGUGGCCACCUGUAAGUCCGUGCAGCUGGGACCAUUUAUUACCACCACUGUGUGUGUUCUGAGCUCCAGAUAUAUGCGUGUAUAUUGAAAAUACACAAUUCAGAUCCACCGACUUCCCAGGGCCUGUCUCAAUCCUAAAAUGCAUGCUGUUUCUAAGAGUCAUUCCUUGGAAUUUGAAAGACCUUGUGUAAGGAGAUCAGCCCUGGGAUUUCUUUGGAAGGAAUGAUGCUAAAGCUGAAACUCCAAUACUUUGGCCACCUCAUGCGAAGAGUUGACUCAUUGGAAAAGACUCUGAUGCUGGGAGGGAUUGGGGGGCAGGAGGAGAAGGGGACGACAGAGGAUGAGAUAGCUGGAUGGCAUCACUGGCUCGAUGGACGUGAGUCUGAGUGAACUCCGGGAGUUGGUGAUGGACAGGAGGCCUGGCGUGCUGCAAUUCAUGAGGUCGCAAAGAGUUGGACAUGGCUGAGCGACUGAACUGAACUGUGUAAUAAAAAAUUCCUGUUAAAAUAGCAUGCCGCCUUAAAAAAUUAACCCUUUAGCAUCCAUUAAGGCUUAAGUGUUAAAUCAUAACCAUGAAGUGUGAUGGCUAAAUGCCUAAAUGAUUUAUUACGAAGAAGCCAAAGGCUUCUAGAUAUGAAGGAAUCCAGGGACAGAGCCAAAGUUUGAAUGAUUCUAAUGGUGCAAAAAUAUCAAUAAAUUUUUGGAUAUCCCUCUCUUUCCCUUUAUCUAUCCUACUCGCUAGUAUUUGUUGAUAUAUUUAAGUGUUAAUCAUGUCAGAUACUAUAAAGUCAUCAAGGAUAGUAUA